rnacentral:rRNA from 1 species
AUACGGAGGAUCCGAGCGUUAUCCGGAUUUAUUGGGUUUAAAGGGUGCGCAGGCGGCCAUUUAAGUCAGCGGUUAAAUCGUGGGGCUCAACCCCAUUCUGCCGUUGAUACUGGGUGGCUUGAUUGCGGUCGAGGUUGGCGGAAUUCGUUGUGUAGCGGUGAAAUGCAUAGAUAUGACGAAGAACACCGAUUGCGUAGGCAGCUGACCAGACCGCAAAUGACGCUCAUGCACGAAAGUGCGGGGAUCGAACAGGAUUAGAUACCCUGGUAGUCCGCACAGUAAACGAGGAAUACUUGUUUUCGGCGAUAUAAUGUCGGAGGCAAAGCGAAAGCGAUAAGUAUUCCACCUGGGGAGUACGCCGGCAACGGUGAAACUCAAAGGAAUUGACGGGG